GCGGUCAUGGCGGAAUUGGUAGACGCGCUGGAUUUAGGUUCCAGUGGGAGACCAUGCAGGUUCGAGUCCUGUUGACCGCA
rnacentral:tRNA from 1 species